AGUUAGAGCCCUUCAGUGUCAGAGCCAGUCAGAGUCAGAGCCAGUCAGAGUCGGUGUCAGAGCCAGUCAGAGUUAGAGCCAGUCAGAGUCAGAGUCCGUCAGAGUCGGUGUCAGAGUUAGAGCCAGUCAGAGUUAGAGCCAGUCAGAGUUAGAGCCAGUCAGAGUCAGAGUUAGAGCCAGUCAGAGUCAGAGCCAGUCAGAGUCAGAGCCAGUCAGAGUCAGAGCCAGUCAGAGUCAGAGUCAGAGUUAGAGCCAGUCAGAGUCAGAGCCAGUCAGAGUUAGAGCCAGUCAGAGUUAGAGCCAGUCAGAGUUAGAGCCAGUCAGAGUUAGAGCCAGUCAGAGUCAGAGUCGGUGUCAGAGUUAGAGCCAGUCAGAGUUAGAGCCAGUCAGAGGCAGAGCCAGUCAGAGUUAGAGCCAGUCAGAGUUAGAGCCAGUCAGAGUUAGAGCCAGUCAGAGUUAGAGCCAGUCAGAGUCAGAAUUAGAGCCAGUCAGAGUCAGAGCCAGUCAGAGGCAGAGCCAGUCAGAGUUAGAGCCAGUGUCAGAGUCGGUGUCAGAGCCGGUCAGAGUCAGAGCCAGCCAGAGGCAGAGCCAGUCAGAGUUAGAGUCGGU
ensembl:lncRNA